GUGACUUACUGGUUCAGGCUUUACAAUACAACUCUCUUUUUCUACACUAAAAAACACGGGAGUGCUUUAGACCUCAGGGGCCAGUAUUACAUAUAUGAGGUUCAGUCUGUGCGGGAGGUCGGCAGAUCGGAGAACAAUCGCUAUCUGUUUGAGAUCACAAUGAAAAAUGGGAAGAAGAAAAUGCUGGCUGCAGAUACAGCUGAUGUCAGGCAGGAGUGGAUGGAGCAGCUGUGGAAAGCCAUGCUGCUGAAUGGCCCAGACAGAUCUGGAUCUCUCACCGAUGGGGAGCUGGUGCCAGAUAACAACCCUGAAAUUCGGUCUAGCCGGUGUGAAGAAUCAAAUAAUGAGACCAGCAGCACUUCAGUGGACAGCCUUGAUCAAGAGUCAUUCCAGUCCUUCGCUGUUGCUGAUGAGACACAAGACAGUUUGCACACAGGCAAUGAAAUGGAGCAAAGUACUGAGGAGUUUUUACUGACAGACUGUGACUACGAUGUUUUACCAUCUCUAAAACGUGUGUAUAAUGAUUUUUUUUUCUGGGAAUACUUUUAAAAUAUAUAAUAUGGUAUAUUAACAUAGUAUGGUCACAUGUCUGCAUUUAGGUUUGCCUUGCCUACUGUAUAAUACUGAUUAAUUGGUAAAAUUAUUGUAUAUUGCUUUAAUCUGUUUAAACAAUAAUUGACUGAUGAUGAUUUCUAAUGAUUAAUUGCAGUUGCUGAAGAAGCCAUCUAUGACACUCCCCCUUCCAAAUGGUCAAC
rnacentral:lncRNA from 1 species